rnacentral:rRNA from 1 species
UAUAGCCUACGGGACGCAGCAGUGAGGAAUAUUGGUCAAUGGGCGAGAGCCUGAACCAGCCAAGUCGCGUGAGGGAGUACUGCCCCAUGGGUUGUAAACCUCUUUUGUCGGGGAGCAAAAGCCGGACGUGUCCGUCUGUGAGAGUACCCGAAGAAAAAGCAUCGGCUAACUCCGUGCCAGCAGCCGCGGUAAUACGGAGGAUGCGAGCGUUAUCCGGAUUUAUUGGGUUUAAAGGGUGCGCAGGCGGAUUUUUAAGUCAGCGGUCAAAUCGUGGGGCUCAACCUCAUCCAGCCGUUGAAACUGGG